GCCUACGUCGUCUAGUGGUAAGACCCCACCAGUGUUUAGUGUGGGUACGAGGGUUCGAAUCCCUCCGUAGGCA